rnacentral:rRNA from 1 species
GAUUGAACGCUGGCGGCAGGCCUAACACAUGCAAGUCGAGCGGAUGAAGGGAGCUUGCUCCUGGAUUCAGCGGCGGACGGGUGAGUAAUGCCUAGGAAUCUGCCUGGUAGUGGGGGAUAACGUCCGGAAACGGGCGCUAAUACCGCAUACGUCCUGAGGGAGAAAGUGGGGGAUCUUCGGACCUCACGCUAUCAGAUGAGCCUAGGUCGGAUUAGCUAGUUGGUGGGGUAAAGGCCUACCAAGGCGACGAUCCGUAACUGGUCUGAGAGGAUGAUCAGUCACACUGGAACUGAGACGCGGUCCAGACUCCUACGGGAGGCAGCAGUGGGGAAUAUUGGACAAUGGGCGAAAGCCUGAUCCAGCCAUGCCGCGUGUGUGAAGAAGGUCUUCGGAUUGUAAAGCACUUUAAGUUGGGAGGAAGGGCAGUAAGUUAAUACCUUGCUGUUUUGACGUUACCAACAGAAUAAGCACCGGCUAACUUCGUG